UCCGAGUUGUCCCCGGCAGUCCCCUUAGAGUCCCCGGCAUUACCCGCUGGCAACUAAGGGCAGGGGUUGCGCUCGUUGCGGCACUUAAGCCAACACCUCACGGCACGAGCUGACGACAGCCAUGCAGCACCUGUGCUAGCCCCCGAAGGACACGGGCUUUCACCCGCUUUAACUAGCAUGUCAAACCCAGGUAAGGUGGGGAUGACGUGUCGUUACCUUA
rnacentral:misc_RNA from 1 species